UAAUACUAAUGAUAACGACCGCUCACAUUUUCACGGCGCUUUCUAAGGCCGGCCGUCGUGCGAAGCGCUUCGCAACAACGAGAAGUUCACGAGGAGCCCACGCAGGGCGGAGGGGGAGAGGGGGCGCUGUCAUUGGCCCGUAUUUACAGAGGAGGAAACUGAGGCAGGCAGACAAAGCCCGGGGGCGCGAGGCGGGAUCUGAACCCGCAUUUCCUGGCUUCUGUCCCAGGUGGCUCUGCUAAGGAGGACGUGCAGAGUCCGGGGUCACCUCAGUGGUCAGGGACGGAGCUAGCCCCGGACUCCCCAGUCCGCCGACUCCCCCACGAACCUCACGGGCUCUUCCGCGAGCUGCCUGGCUUCCCAGGGCGGGCCUGGGGCCUGGAAACCUGCCCGGGGUCAGGGGUCAAGGCCAUGGCCGAUUAAGCCUCCUAGGACCUGCCUAGGAUGUGGUUCCGGGGCUCAGGAGACGGACGGAUGGGUGGGGAACGAGGAGCUCCUAGUCUGGGUCUGGGGGCUGCUGGGAGCAGGCUGGGGGUCGUGGAGUGAAGGGUGAAAUGGCUGCAGGAGGGGGCUGCCAGGCACGGACCUUGGGCGUCUGGCCAGAGACAGGCCGGGACUGAGGUGCUCACCAAGGUAUUUUUAGAGCCUGAAAUCCUAGCUCUGAAACCUGGCUCCCCAAGGGGGCCAUACAGCCUCCAGCCAGCCUCGUGACCUGGACCCUGCCUCCCCUCCCCCCCCCCCCACACUGUCCCCAAGGGAGAACCAGAUUUCAUCGUCCAGUGGGCUCGAGUCCUGGGAGGGAACCUGAGGGCAGGCCCACCAGGUCACCUAGCAAACAAGGGGCCACGCGGCCUCUGGCCGACCUGUCCCAGACACUGGGCCUUGGACACUGUCCCCAAGGGAGAGCCGGAUUUCAUCGUCCAGUGGGCUCGAGUCCUGGGAGGGAACCUGAGGGCAGGCCCAUCAAGUCCCCUAGCAAACAAGGCAGCCUCCACUAGGGAGUUUGGGUGUUUUAUUUUUGUUUUUAAGAAAAUGAAUGUUUCCUUCUCAAACACCAUUGAGGACAAGAUGGUACUUUUUAAAAAAUGCCUUAAAAUGAAUGGACUGAGAUGAUGAUUGUGAGACAAAGUCCUCAUCUGUAACAGCGACAUCAUGUGCCCAAAGUGUGCAUCAAGGGAAGGGAAUGGGUGUUGGUGCCCUGUAGGGCAGCCGCCAUCAUCACCCCAUUUUACAGUUGAGGAGACUGAGGCUGAGAAAAGGUUGCGUGACCUGCUUCGAUCUGAAUUUGAGUGUUCCAGACACCAGGCCCUAACGCCUGCCCCAGCAGGCCCUAACGCCUGCCCCACCAGGCCACACAUUUUUGAGAAAAGCUGUUUUUGAAAAAGGAAAGUUGACGUGUUUUUUUCUCUUUUUCUCCUCAGGAAUACCUGGACCUCACUUUGUCAAGCUUCCCCUCCUAUCAAGUACCCUGAUAUCCACAACGACUCUGGUUCUCAUUAGCUCAGUAUAGUGGAAGCGAGAAGGUCCGAUUUCCGAUUCCUGUUGAUUUUCUCCAUGUUUGGGGGCAGACCUGAGGUGGAGGUUUGUGGGAAGGCCUGGGGAAGGAGUUCACCUUACCAAGGAGGGGCCUGAGACAUUUUAAGUCUCUCAGCCCCGACGUAACCCGAGGUCUCUCUAAGUGCGCCUGAUCAGCACUUGGGGGUUAGGGGAGCUGUGAGCCUGUGGUGUUUUCUGGAGGUGCUGGAGCCGGUCCGGAGGAGCUCGGAGGCCAAAUCCAUUGAGAAAUGUUCAGAGAAGUGGAUCAAUUUACAGCUCAGCUUAUGAUUACAGAGGAAAAAAGCAUUUCAUCAAUUAAACAGGAAAAUUUCAAAUGAGCUGCAUCUUGUAUCCCUGGUCUCUUUGCUGAGAGAUAAAGCUUCAUGGUGUCCCACACGGGGCCAUUUACCAUCGAAGCUGGUGAAAUCCCAGUGGUUCUGCAGAGAAGCAUCCCCUACUGAGUCAGCGGCUUUGAUGUCAACUCCAGGCGAUGUUUCUUCAGGGGAUGGGAUAGAAGAAACAUUUUGUGACUCCAAUAAAAUGAGGAGUUUUAGGAUCACAGCUCAAGUCCAAAAGUUUAAAGCAGGCUCGGUAAAUAGCACCGAAGCUGGCUAUUCUUGAGAACUGUUUUAUGUGCUUGUGGAUAAAGACUCUCUGAGUCAUUUUGAAAUCUUCAGGAAGACUCUUAGAGUUUGGGUCCUACUGGGAAGAGGAUCAGAGACAGCCUUGCUCUAAGGAGAAGGUGAUUGUAUUGGAAAACAUUAAGUGACAGGUCUGUGUUCUUUUCUCAAAAAUAAACCUAGAUGUUUUUAAGAGCCGAAACGUUAGGAACGCCUUGUGGAUCUUGAAGGAAUUUUUUUUUUUUUAAUUUGAAAAAAGUGAGCAAGGGAAAUGCUAAUGAAAAAGGCCAGCCCAGUAGUCUGUCAGCACCAUUGAAGGGAUAGAUUUGGGCGAAGGGGAGGCAGGGAAGAAGAAGAACCCAAGGAGGAAAGAAACUGAGAAUCCAGUUCUGUUGCAUCUGAUUCAAUUCAGUUCAACAAGCUUUAUUUGGGCAAGGCUCUGUUCUAGGUACCAAAGAGACGAAAAUGAGUUCCUGUAAUUUGAGGAAGGGGAGAGGACAAUUUGGGAGUUCAAUCAAUCAAUCAACAAACAUUAUCAAACUCUCAUUUGAACUCACUGACUGUAUGGUGGGUUGUUCUGGCUCUCACUCCUGCCUGUGCUAUUGGUUCAGGUUCAACUAUGGAAGGAACUGAAUUCUCUCCUGUCAAUGUCCAGUUAAUCAAAGACUUGUUACUUAGACUUAGCAGAGAAAGGCUAUUCACCAGGGAUGCUCUAGAAGUACUUAUCUUGGAUAGCCACAGCCCACCUCAUCAUCCAGAAACACUUCUCCGGUCAGCAGGGAAGGAUAUAAUGACUUAGUUGACACCUGCCAGGUCUAAAGGGCUCUAUCGCCCAUGUCCGUAACAUGUCAUUCCCACCAUUUCCAUAUUAGGAGAGGAGAAGCUUUGGCUCUUUGGAUCAAUCCAAUGACAAGGACAUUUCACUUAGCUCUCCAUGUUUUCCAAUAGAUUCCCUAGAGAGAGUCCACCGAAUGUGCUAGGAACCUUAUUCGAAUGCAUGAACUCCAAUGGAGCGAAUGGACUGUCCAUCCUUUUUCUCUAGUUCUUGCUAAGAAACUGGCUUUUUUUUCAGCCAUAUUUUUCUCUGAUGUCUUUUGUGCCUCUUCUGAAAAUCCCCACUUGUAACCUGUUACAGCCAAGUAAUGCCAGAUGGGCAUUUCCUCAUUGCUUUUUGGAGGUCACUUUUUGAAUUUCUUGAGUGAGUGACCAGGCUUUGGGGACUGAAGUACCUUCCAUGACUUAAGACAUUUCAAUUCUGCUGUUGGCUUCGGAAGGAGAAGGAUCAGGAUGAGAGGAAAGGAGGGCCCUUUGCUUGAGCUUGGUGAGCUUGGAGAAGAUCCACUGGUCAAGAGCCAUCUAUGUGGGAGAUUCAUGGGAAUUUUAUAAGCAAAGCCAUCCUGUCUAAAGAUGUUAGGACACAGAGAAGCCAUCUAGUUGAGUAAAACUCUCCUUUCUACCACCAAGGACAAAGUCUCUGUCUCAGUAUCUAACUUAGGGUUAGAAAGUACUUGUUUAUAGCUUUUGCUUCUUUCCCUAGUGGAGAUCCCUUGUGCUCAAACCCAAUUCAAGAGGUUCUGUAUAAACGGGAUCAACCAAAGAGAAGCUGGUUUUGCUUCAGCCCAUUUUUAUCUCCAGCUCCAUUUCCAUCGUUGGAGUCCUGGUAAAUAUUGCCAGUGCUCUCUGUUCUCCUGUAGCAACAGAAGAUUUUGAUUGAUCACUUUUCCUUUGGACUAAAAUUUAAUUACCAUAUUAAAAGCAUCAGAAAGAAAAAAAUCCAAACAGUAUUUAAGUAAUAGUUUUAAUAAUAGUUCAAUAAUUCAUAAAUUAGGUUCCCCUAGUAACAGAAGUCUUCCAGAAAAGAUGUAUGGGACUAAAUACUUAGCAUAGUAUUAGCAUAUUAGCUUAAUGAUAAUAUGAAGCUCAUUAUUCAAAGCAAAAUUAUUCCCUCUUAUUCCAAAUGCAAACUUGUAGACUUUUGCUUAUUUUUUCUGUUUAUUUAUUCAUUCAAAUAAACACUUAUCAUG